UGGGGGAUAUUGCACAAUGGGCGAAAGCCUGAUGCAGCGACGCCGCGUGGGGGAUGAAGGCCUUCGGGUUGUAAACUUCUUUUGCUCUGAACAAGGCGCACCAUGGGGUGUGUUGAGUGUAGGGGUUGAUUAGCGCCGGCUAACUACGUGCCAGCAGCCGCGGUAAUACGUAGGGCGCGAGCGUUGUCCGGAAUUAUUGGGCGUAAAGGGCUCGUAGGUGGCUGGUUGCGUCUGUCGUGAAAGCUCAUGGCUUAACUGUGGGUUUGCGGUGGGUACGGGCUGGCUUGAGUGCAGUAGGGGAGGCUGGAAUUCCUGGUGUAGCGGUGGAAUGCGCAGAUAUCAGGAGGAAUACCGGUGGCGAAGGCGGGUCUCUGGGCUGUUACUGACACUGAGGAGCGAAAGCAUGGGGAGCGAACAGG
rnacentral:rRNA from 1 species